CACAUGCAGUCGAACGAAGCACUCUUUUAGAUUUCCUUCGGGGAAGAAGAAAUUGUCACUGAGUGGCGGACGGGUGAGUAACGCGUGGGCAACCUGCCCCAUACAGGGGGAUAACAGCCGGAAACGGCUGCUAAAACCGCAUAAGCGCACAAGGGCCGCAUGGCCUGGUGUGAAAAACUCCGGUGGUAUGGGAUGGGCCCGCGUCUGAUUAGCUAGUUGGCGGGGGAGAGGCCCACCAAGGCGACGAUCAGUAGCCGACCUGAGAGGGUGGCCGGCCACAUUGGGACUGAGACACGGCCCAAACUCCUACGGGAGGCAGCAGUGGGGAAUAUUGCACAAUGGGGGAAACCCUGAUGCAGCGACGCCGCGUGAGCGAAGAAGUAUUUCGGUAUGUAAAGCUCUAUCAGCAGGGAAGAAAAAUGACGGUACCUGAGUAAGAAGCACCGGCUAAAUACGUGCCAGCAGCCGCGGUAAUACGUAUGGUGCAAGCGUUAUCCGGAUUUACUGGGUGUAAAGGGAGCGCAGGCGGUGCGGCAAGUCUGAUGUGAAAGCCCGGGGCUCAACCCCGGGACUGCAUUGGAAACUACCGAACUAGAGUGUCGGAGAGGUAAGUGGAAUUCCUAGUGUAGCGGUGAAAUGCGUAGAU
rnacentral:rRNA from 1 species